GCUGUCUCUCUCUCUCUCUCUCUCUAUAUAGGCAGCUACCCACGCCCUUGUUUCUAUUUUGCUCUGUCUCAAAGUUGCCCGAGUCCUCCCCAGAACAACAACAGAAGACCUCUCCUCCGGUGUUGAAAAAGGUAGUUUUAGUAUUCUCUGGUGGUAUCUUAACUUCAAAAUGCCCAAAGUCAGACGAUCAUCUUCCUUGUCUCUUGAUCGAUCUAGGGCAUCACCUUAUCCUUGCACCUCUGAGGAUGCUGAGCAAUACAAGUUGAAUAGUCCGUUAGAAAGCACAGAGAACGCAAAAGAAUGGGAAGAUACUAGAUGCCCCAUCUGCAUGGAACACCCACAUAAUGCUGUUCUUAUAAAAUGUUCCUCUCAUGAGAUGGGCUGCAGGCCGUACAUGUGCAAUACAAGCUACCGGCACUCAAAUUGUCUUGACCAGUUUUGUAAGUCUUCUGUACCUGAGUCCACAACAAUGAUGUUGCAAGAACUUCCUCUGACACACACAGCCUCUCACGGUUCUAGGGAAGAAGAAUCGCUGCCUGGGCAAACCAGCCCUUGUGGAAGUCAGUUGCAACCACAUCCAGCUUGCCCUCUUUGUCGGGGAAAGAUCUAUGGGUAUAUUGUUGUAGAGGCUGCUCGUCACUUCAUGAAUUGCAAAGUGAGGAGCUGCUCUUCUGAGACAUGCGACUUUAAUGGAACUUAUUCAGAACUGAGGAAGCAUGCGAGGUCUGAACACCCUUAUGUCCGGCCAUCAGAGGUGGAUCCAAAUCGUCAUCGUGAUUGGAUGAGAUUGGAACGUCAAAGGGACUUGCAAGAUGUACUUAGCAUAGUCCAAGUAGGGUCUGGAGAUGAUAUUAUUCCGGAUCCAUCAACAGAUGGUGGCUGGAUGACUUCCCUUUUAAGUGCUAUGUUUCGCUCGUUUGAGAUUAUGAUUUUUUCUCAAUUGAUGGAGAGUUCAAGUGACAUGGAACAAACUCAUAGUAGAAGAUCAGGGAGAAUGACUAGGGUCCAGCAAGACAAUGACACAAUCCCUGCUGCUAGAAGGAACAACACUGUAUCAGAUAGCACAUCCCGUCCCAGAGGUCUACGUUGGCGAGCACCAAAUAAUAAUGGCGAGACAGCUCGUACCUCCAGAUUGAGCCACAAUUCUUUGUCAGGGGAGACUAGCCAUACCUCUAGAUGGAGCAACAACUCAUUGGAGGAGGCUAGCCGUGCCCCUAGAUGGGGUAACUCCUUAUCUGAGGAGGGUACUAACCGUGUCCUUAGAAGGGGUAACAACAGCGUAUCGGAGACUACCCGUCCCUCCAGAUGGGGCAACAACUCUGUGCCGGAGGAGAGUAAUCGUGUCCACAGAUGGGGUAACAACUCCGUGCCAGAGAGUAAUCGUGUCCACAGAUGGGGCAACAACUCCUUAUCAGAGGAGAGUAGAUGGGGCAACAACUCCUUAUCGGAAGAGGCUGGGCAUGCCUCUAGAUGGGGCAAUACUUCUGUACCAGAAAGCACACCCCGUCCUCGAAGACUGAGAUGGAGAAAUCAAUGGCCAACGUACAAUAACAGAAGGUGACUGCAGCUCAUUGUUUCUGAGAUCAAUUUGCUCUCACAAAAGACAUGUCAUGUUUCAAUUUUCAAACAUUUGAGUCUGCACUUUUCAAAUAAUGUCUGCUCAGGAACGAUCAUGCCAUCGACCAAGAAGUGUUGAAUGACAAAACAAAAGCAUGGAGUUUUAUUUGUUGGAACAAUAUUUAACGGCUUUAGGCUCUUGGGACACUCCUGUCUUGGUGAAUAAUAGAAUGUUAAGCAUAGAUUUUAUCUCCAUUUUUUUUUUGCUAGUGAUUGUUAAUAUCUAGUUCAGUACUAAAUGAACUCAGAAGCUUUUGAUUUUUUUUUUUAAGGUAAACUGUGCUUUACAGAAUCGUUUCAUCCCAUAAUGCCAAAUGUGUUUGCUAGGGCACACAUAAUU